rnacentral:antisense_RNA from 1 species
GGGAUCCAUGUCGUCCUUACAACAAUUCAGCAAGAAACAUAUUAUUCGAUCCAUUCACUGAAGAGGAAACUGAAAUCACUCAGAGAGGAGGAGUGAUUCAGCCCCAAAUUCCAAAGUGGUAGAAGUGGACUUGGGCUCAGCUUCCCUAGUGUCUUAGCUACUCCCCCAUCUAACUGUUCAUUCCUGGGACAGGUGAGGUAAGACAGUGGGGAACAGACAGUAACUGAUGGUGCAGAGGAGUCCGUGACUUAACAGGCCACUUGAUGCCAAAGAAUAGCUACUACAAACACCAACUCCUAGCAAACAGCCCACACUGACCAGCCAAUUGCCUGAGGCCAGAUAGACAGGGGUAUAUGUCAGAGCCAUUCUUCAAGAUCAGAUGACCUGUUAAGUCCAAGGACUCAUCUGAACCAUCAGUCACUCUCUGGCCCAGAGAGGUGGUGUUGUUUGCCAAGGACACACAGCAGGUGGCCAAGAUGGAGCCAAGCCAUUUUCCCCACUGCAGGGCUCAUGGUUUCGACUUUGUUGGUUCUCUAGCAGGACGCGGGUGUCCUCAAGGUCACAGACCCCUGAUCUCCAUAAGUGUCCCUGACAUUUCAAGGGCACAAAUUCUCUGGACACACGGAGGGAAUAAUGCUGACAUUUUAUAGAAGCUGACCCACUGGAUAUCCUUCUCACCCAACUCCAUUAGGCUAGGGAGAGUAAGAGGCAUGGUGACAAGGUGGCAAAGAUGUCACCAUGCCAUCCAAUCACGAGGUCUCCAGGAAACUGU